rnacentral:tRNA from 1 species
AGCGGGGUAGGGGAGCAGUUACCCGCCAGUCUCAUAAGCUGGAGAUCGUUGGUGCAAUUCCAACCCCCGCAA